ensembl:lncRNA
AGGUGUGGCCCCAAAGAUGCACACACACACAAAUCUUACCAAGGGUGGUUCAUUUCCUUAUGAUUCUGAGUGAUAAUGUAGGAUGAUAUUUUUACAAAAACAGCCAUUGGGUGAAUUGUAUUUAGAUGGCCAGACAUAGUAACUAUUAGUUUUGCAGGCUUAUUUUUAAUAGAUUCAUCAAAGUUGGAACUUUGAACAACAUUACAUAAUACUAAAUAUUACCAGUAAUUCAGAAGUUUGAAAACUUUGUUACAUGGCUGAAUAUUAUCAGAUUACUGAUAAUAAACCAGUAUUGGUAAUAAUAACUAGUAUGGCUGACCUGAAAUGGAGAAGGCUUGUUCAAAAAGGCCACAUCUAGCCAUUUAGAUGGAUAGUUCUUAAUUGGGUUAUUGUAGUAAGUGUUGGGUUUUCUGUCAGAGAUGAGUACUUUAAGAGAAAUGCUAACUUCCUAGAUCUUUAAAAUGCUACUCCAGAUGGCCUGCAGUGGAGGAAAAAGGCCCAUAAAAGCUUUCUAAGUCCAAACAAAGUCAAUAAAACAUUAGAUGGCUAUAGAUAACACUGAAGAAACAGAUUUUAGUUAAGUGUGUAAAAUGACAUAUGGAUUGUGCUUUUUUAAAAUGUUCCUACAAGCUGGCAUUUAUUUUUGGUGUGGGGAUUUUGAGAGUGGUAACUGAUAAUUGAUGACAUUUUGAAUAUUAAGGAAAAUACUGAGAGAGUAUGAAUUUUAGCAGUGUUGUCUUCAUGAAUUGAACUAUUUCAAAAGGAUUCACAGAAUGGCAAUAGCAUUUUAUAGAGGCAGGAAAGCCAAUACUAAAGUAGAAGGGAAAACAGUAAAAGGUAAUAGUUUCUCACUCGAACUUCAAAGAAGCAUUUCCUUCUAGCUUAUGUGCUAACCUGGAAACAGGAUUUUCAAGUUACUCUGCUGCUGUCCUUCCCUUCUUGAAAGUGUCAGUUGUGGAAGCUACAUAGGUCUAGUUUGUAUAUACUGCAAGUGCCUGGACUCCAACCCAGGUGGUUCUAAUUCAGUGAUCCUGGGUAGGCAGGAUCCAGAGAUUUGCUCAUUUUGUUGUUGUUGUUGUUGUUGUUUGUUUGUUUUUAUAUCCAAGCCUGAGGCACAUGGAAGUUUCUAGGCUAGGGGCUGAAUUGCAGCUGUAGCUGAGGCCUGUGCCACAGCCAUGGCAAUACCGGAUCUGAGCUGCAUGUGUGACCUAUGCUGCAGCUUGCAGCCACACCAGAUCCUUAACCCACUGAGUGAGGCCAGGGAUUGAAUCCACAUCCUCAAAGACACUAUGUUGGGUUCUUAACCUGCUGAGGCACAAUGGGAACUCCAAGAGUUGCUCUUGUUAAAACAUUGUCCAGUUUGGGAACCACUGGAGUAAAUUCACUACUCGGUAUCAUGUCUACCCAAGUACCUUGAGAGGAUUUCAAAUCAUGACAAAGAAUCCCACAGUUAAGGCCCAUAUUUGGCUUGUUCAAUCAGGCCAUAGGCAUUUUCUGAGCAUCUGCACUGCGCCUGGCACUGUGCUGGAGAUUUCUAGUGAACUAGAGAGUUCCCAGUGUAGCUGGCAGGGAGUCUAGCUGGUAUUGGCAAGCUUCUACAGUGCAAAUGGUGUUAAGUGUUGCAAAAGGAUGUAAAUCGGUGGUCAUAUGAGCGUGGUUGAGGGAUACUCAGAAUGGGGCUUUUUGAUGCCAUUUAAUUUUACAGCAGAGUGCUCCACUCCAUACAUAAGUAUGAUCUUGCCUUUGUGGAAAAUGUUUUUGGAUUUAAAGAUGAGAAUUUAAUGACAUCCUUUGAGUUGAUUGAGAUGCUUGAAGAUACUGCAAAGCAGUAAAAAUCAUGGGUGUUAUAUCAGUUAGAAUUAAGUUCUACUCUCCAGUGUACAGUGGCAUAUACAAGCUAGAAAGUUAUUUCUAUAAACAAAUUUGGAGGUUAAUAGUGCAGGGCUAAUAUGGUGGCCUUGGUCUUGCAGGAUCCAGCCUUCAUUGUCCUGUUUUAUUUGCCAAAGUGUAGCUUUGACCUCAUUGUCCCAAAUGGCUGCUUGAGCUGAAGCCAUCAUACCCACAUUUCAGGCAGUGGAAAGAAGGGCAGAGAUUACUAUGAAGGAAACAUCCUAGAAGUUCAUCCAAAUUUUUGCUUACUUCCCAUAUUUCAGAACUUCAUCACAUGGUCACACCUAACCACAACUAAGUGAAAAGCACAGCAUUUUCCCCACAGGGCCAUGGACAUGGUUCUUUCACUAAGAAAGGAGAGGAAGAGAAGUAUUGCCAAACCAAGGACUCUGAGAGUAGGUUUUUUCAGGUGAUUCUUUACCCAUGUAAGUCUUAAGUGUACCACCCUUACGUGCACUAAUAUUGGGGGUAGAGAAGAAAUUUUCAACUGACACAUGCCAAUAUCUUCUUCUUAUAGAAGGGGUAUUUGAACUGUACUUUGCACAUGCCAUUUUUUUAAUUAUAAAUAUUACUGUCUUGGGUAGUACUUGUUUCUAGCUUAUAGUACAUGAAGAAAAUUCUCAGGAAUCAAAGCCUUUUCCUUUGCCAGUGUCUCAAGCUAAUUCAGUUUCUUAUAAAUGCUGGUACCAGUGAUCCCUUGAAAUGUUACCCAGGGACGGUGCUAAAGGAUGGGCCAAAACAUCUCUCUUCUUGGGGGUAGAAGACCUGGAUUUGAAUCCAGCUUCUGCCUUCAUAAUGUUAGAAUCAUUGAUGGCCUAGUUCACCAUCUAUAAAAGUAGCUCCGUAGUAUUUUACCUCGGGAUUAUUGCUGUGGAUUAGAUUGGACCUCUAUAACACUUGCAUUUUAUUUAUUUAUUUAUUUUGGUCUGUUUGUCGUUUUUAGGACUGCACCCACAGCGUAUGGAGGUUCCCAGGCUAGGGGUCCAAUCGGAGCUGUAGUCGCCGGCCUAUACCAUAGCCGUAGCAACGCCAGAGCCAGCAGCAUCUGUGACCUGCAUCACAGCUCAUGGCAACACCAGAUCGUUGACCCACGGAGCGAGGCCAGGGAUUGAACCCACAUCCUCAUGGGUGCUAAUUGGGUUCGUUAACUACUGAGCCACGACUGGAACUCCCACACUUGCAUGUUAUAAUUAGUUGAUUGUAUCUGUCACUUGCCAGUUAUAAACAUGUGGCCCCCAAACUUAGCAUUACAGUCAGUCUCUUCUAAGCUUUCAUAUCUCUAAGAAUACCUUUUUGGCUCAUGAAGUGUGUUGAUUGUUUUAUUCUUGAACAGAGCAACCUGAUCUAUUUCCUUUGAUUUGGACAGCUUUGUAAAUUUAACCUUUACUCAAGGUCUUUCUUGUUCUUUGAAUUGACAGUUGGCCUGUGAAGGUGGCUUUAUGAGUCAAGUUGAACUCUUUGAGAGGGAACUGCUGAAGAAGAUGAACACGAGAUGACUUUAGAGAUAACUGCUUUUUCUUGUGCCCCACAAUCCUGAAGAAUUCUCCGGUGGUGGGGUAACGUGGGAAGAAUGGAGCAUCCUUGGGGCUAAAGUUCAGUCUUCCAUCUUGUGUUGCAGAUGGGCUUUAGAAGUCAGGGAGGGAACAUUCACUGUGGGUUUCCUCAGUGUUCUAACAGUUCCUGGGCUCUUGGCUUGUUGUCAUUGUUUUUUGUUUGCUGGUUUCAUUGUUGUUGUUUGUUGUGGAACCAGGUUGGAGUCAAAAGUAUUUCAGGCUCGGAAUUUGGAACUGGCCAUGCUGGGCACUGGGAAAGUGAUCACAGGGCAAAAAGGGCCACUUGCCCCUGAAUCUGGGCUACUCUUGGCCUCGAAAGACUCAAUGGCCAGGUUGCUCCCUCUUCUCUCAUUCCCAUUUUGGUUUUCAACUUUGUUAACCUUACAGGUGGGGUCACCAUAAUGACAGGAAGGAUGCUGGGAGUGAGUGAUGUGGAAAGAAUGGCCGGAUGCGUUCCUUUGAUUUUUGAAUGCUCUUCCACACUUCCAAGAAUAUAAAGAUGAUACUAUUUUGUUAUCAUUCUCUGGUACUCUUGUGCUCUCAUUUUUUACAGGUAAAAUUUGAAUCCAUUUGGAAUUCUUCACAGUAAGCCAUGAGGCAGGGAUGUUGCUUUGUUUUUUUCCUUCGUGGUUGGUUAGUUGCUCAGCCCCUUUUGCUGAAUAAUCCAUUUCUCACUGUUGCCCAUAGAUGGAACAGUUUUUGAUUAAAAACAUAGUUUUGGGAAGUUCCUAUUGUAGCUCAUCAGGUUAUAAACUCCACACAGUGUCCAUGAGGAUGCACGUUGGAUCUCUGGCCUCACUCAGUGGGUUACAGAUCCAGCGUUGCCACAAGCUGUGGCAUAGGUCACAGAUGCAGCUCAGAUCUGGCAUGCUGUGGUGUGUAGGCUGGCAGCUGCAGCUCCAAUUGCGCGCGCGCGCGCACACACACACACACACACAAGCGUGGCCUUAAAAAAAAAAGUGUGUGUGUGCGCGCGCGCGCGCACACACACACACACACACACACACACACACACACACGUUUUGAAGACUUGGUGCAUUCAAGACAAAUCUUGAAGGAUUACCUCCCUUUCUCUUCAUUGGCUAAUGUGGUACCCUCAGCAAUGGUCUUAAAAACACAAUUUACAUUUGGUGUGCUGUGUUGCCAGUUGUAGUGCUCUUUAUGAAGUUGUGCUUGUGAUAGUUUUUAUUAAAGUUUGGUGUAUACAAAGAAACUUUAAUAACCCUGUCAUACUAUUCUAAAUUGACGUAAUGCUGAUUUAUCUUAGAUGACCCUGGAUCUUAGUCACUUUGCCUAUAUAUUUAGAUGAGUUUUUGCCCCUUGUUUUUCUCUUUAUGUUGAUCCAGUCAUGUGCCAUGAGCCCGCUGGUUUCAUUCUGAUAAUUCUGUAUUGUCCUAAUACUGUGAGAUGCUUCUCUAUUGAUGGAGAGAGUAGAGAGAGAGAAAGGAGGCAAACAGUGGAUUCCCUUAUAAUUAUGCAGGUGUCACAGAAGCUAUACACAUCACUUCUGCUUCCAUUCCAUUGGCGUCAGGUGGCUGCAUGUGGCUGCAAGGGAGGCUAGAAACCGCAUUCUCUAGUUAAGUGGCCACGUGUUCAGCUAAAUUUUUUUAGUAAGGAAGAUUUUAGGGUUCAACAUGCUCUGUGGCAUUUUUCAGCUCGAAAUUCCUAAAAGUAAGAUGAAGUGUAACUUGCCUGCCUAUGUUCUCAAAAAAACAAAGCAAAACCAAGACACCGCUAAAUGUUAUAAUGAUAAAGGAUCUCACUUGACUGACAGGGAGGUGUUUCUUCUACAUGUCUGAAGAGUCUUACCUUAAAUGCUUUCAGAGAAAAGAGGUUAGCAGUAGCUCUGCUUCUUUGGCUCCAGUCUUAACAUUUCAACAGAAAGCUAUUGCCCUUUAGUUAUAUUAGGAAAGGGCUUCAAGUGAAGGAGCUGCCGUUUGCGUGGUUUGCUGCAUUUGCGUGGAGGGAGCAAUGAUGAAAUGCCUGGUACUUCUCACAGGCAAUUUGUGUCAACCACCAGGAUGUUUUGGUUGAUCUUCCACCCUUAGUUUUAGUUCCGAUGAAGUAUAUGUUAUCUUACACAUAUCCUUUUGUCCUUUUGCUACUUUUUGAGUCCUUUUGGUCAUUUUCUUGUAGAGCACGUUUGUAAGCUUGUUUUUUACUUUGCCAUCUUGCUUGCAGACCUUUACUCUUAUUUUAGUUAACUUUCAUGUAAUUUAUUUCCAUUUUAAUGUAUUUUUCCAGCCUUAUUGAGAUAUAAUAGGUAUAUAAUAUCGUGUAAGUUUAAGUGUACAACGUGAUUGGAUACAUGUUGACAUAUACAGAAUGAUUACCACAACAAGGUGAGCUAACACAUCCAUCACGUCACAUAAUUAUAAUCUGGGGGUGGGGUGAAGACAUUUUGAGGUCUACACCUGUAGUAACUUUCAAAUUUAUAAUACGAUAUCUUUGCUUUUGUGUGUGUGUGCAUAUGUGACUGCAGUUAUACCCACGGCAUACAGAGGUUCCUAGGCCAGGUAUCAAACCUGGGCCAUAGCUGUGACAACCCCAGAUCCUUAACUGCUAUGCUACCAGGGAACUCCAUAAUAAUGUUACUCUGUUUUUAUUUUAUUUAUUUUCUUGUCUUUCUGUCUUUUUAGGGCCAUACCUGCAGCAUAUGGAGGUUCUCAGGCUGGGGGUCCAAUCUGAGCUGUAGCCACCAGCCUAUGCCAGAGCCAUAGCAACACAGGAUACAAGCUGUGUCUGUGACCUUCACCACAACUCUCAGAAGACCAGAUCCUUAACCCACUGAGCAAGGCCAGGGAUCGAACCUGUGUCCUCAUAGAUGCCAGUCAGGUUUGUUAACUGUUGAGCCACGAUGGGAACUCCUGUUACUCUGUUUUUAAAAAGCCCUGCCAGCACAGUAAAACUCCUAGAGAGACAUUCUUUCAUCUCAGAUUGAGAGGUAAUUUUAAAAGUAACGUUCAAUAUUACUCAUUAUUGGCUCAGUGGGUUAAGGAUCUGACGUUGUUCCCUGCUAUGGCUCAGGUUGCUCCUGUGGUGCGAGUGUGAUCCCUUGUCUGGAAACUUGUGUAUGCCGCAGACAGAGCCAAAAAAAAAAA